CUCGUAGGUGGCUCGGUAAGUCGGGUGUUAAACCCCCAGGCUCAACCUGGGGACGCCAUUCGAUACUGCUGUGGCUAGAGUCCGGUAGGGGAGCGUGGAAUUCCUGGUGUAGCGGUGAAAUGCGCAGAUAUCAGGAGGAACACCAGCGGCGAAGGCGGCGCUCUGGGCCGGUACUGACACUGAGGAGCGAAAGCGUGGGUAGCAAACA
rnacentral:rRNA from 1 species